UACGAAGGGGGCUAGCGUUGCUCGGAAUCACUGGGCGUAAAGCGCACGUAGGCGGAUCUUUAAGUCAGGGGUGAAAUCCCAAGGCUCAACCUUGGAACUGCCUUUGAUACUGGGGGAUCUCGAGUCCGGAAGAGGUGAGUGGAACUGCGAGUGUAGAGGUGAAAUUCGUAGAUAUUCGCAAGAACACCAGUGGCGAAGGCGGCUCACUGGUCCGGUACUGACGCUGAGGUGCGAAAGCGUGGGGAGCAAACAGG
rnacentral:rRNA from 1 species